CCAGAUACUGUUAGGGGCCUCUAAUAAUGUUGUGACCUUAAUGUCUUUUUAAAACAGAAUAGGGAGUUCCUGUUGUGGCUCAGCAAGUUAAGAACCCGACAUAGGGUCCAUGAGGACGCAGGUUCGAUCUCUGGCCUUGCUUAGUGGGUUAAGGAUCUGGCGUUGCCGUGAGCUAUGGUGUAGGUUACAGAUGCAGCUCAGAUCUCGCAUUGCUGUGUCUGUGGCAUAGGGCAGCAGCUGUAGCUCCAAUUUGACCCCUAGCCUGGGAACUUCCAUAUGCCUCAACUUCGGCCCUAAAAAAAAAAAAAGAAUAGAAAAGUAAAUAAUAUGGAGUUCCCUUCACGGCGCAGCAGAAACGAAUCUGACUAGAAACCAUGAGGUUGCAGGUUCAAUCCCUGGCCUCGCUCAGUGGGUUAAGGAUCCGGCAUUGCCAUGAGCUGUGGUGUAGGUCAGACAAGGCUCAGAUCUGGUGUUGCAAACCAAAAAAAAAAAAAAAAAAGUAAAUAAUAGUAAACAUAUAGUAAUGAAUGCAGCCUAAAUUAUAUUCAUAUUGAUACCAAUGUAGUCACAGAGUAUGAUUUUUAGUACUUUUUUUUUUUUUUUGGCUUUUUUUAGGGCCACACCCAUGGCUAUGGAAGUUCCCAGGCUAGGAGUUGAAUCAGAGCUGUAGCCUCUGGCCUACACAUAUGAGCCAUGUCUGAUCUAUACCACAGCUCACUGAAACACCAGAUCCUUAACCUACUACUCGAGGCCAGGGAUCAAACCCGUGUCCUCAUGGAUACUAGUCAGUGGUGAAGAACCCGACUAUUACCCAUGAGGACAUGAGUUCGAUUCCUGGCCUCGCUCACUGGGUUAAGGACACAGCAUUGCCGUGAGCUGUGGUGUAGGUUGCAGAUGUGGCUCUGCCUGUUGCUAUGGCUGUGAUGUAGGUUGUCAGAUGCAGCUCUGAUCGGACUCCUGGCCUAGAAACAUCUCUAGGUUGAGGGUGUGGCCCUAAAAAUAUUAAAAAAAAAAAAAAAAAAAAAAAAAGUGACGGCAGAGCCCAAGUCCUUUCUAAAAGCAGAGCCCCGUGUGGCUUUGCAGGACACACACCCACGGAGGCACCUCUGCUGGCAUUUGGGUGUCGUCUGGAUUUACUUCAGUGAAUCCUUUUGGAGUUUCACCAGAUUCAUUGAAUAUUGACCAGAGGCUUAGAUGUCACGUGAGAUUAAACCCAAAUGGGCUUAAUUCAGCACCCAACUGGCCAACUAUAAUUACACCCCAUAGUGUUUACAGCUCUUCUAAACACGUCUGCAGUUAUCACACUCUGGCUUUGUCACCUGGUAGCACAGGUCACGUCUGAGGUGCCUCUCACCAUAACCUCGAUCGUCUUCAUACUCCUUGGACAAAGGCUCGCCGAGAUACUGUAACCCUUUUCUUUGGUUAGUGCUGGUUGGAUGGAAGGCCAUCCCUCGUCCCCGGUCCUUGAAGUAAAUUGCAUCCCUGUUCCAUGCCACGACGUCCUGCUGUUCAGCUCCACGUUGCAUGAAGCAUUGUGGGAGCAGCAUCAGGAGUCUCAGGGGAACAUGAGGUUCUGUCCUUCCCAGUUCCUUUUCUACAUGAACACAAUUCCCAGCAAAGGAGACUACAGUCUCUGUUUGCUUUGUAAUGCAUCACAGUCUUGUCAAAGAAAGGAGCGUUUCUCUCCUUUAGCUGUUUCCCUCUGAGGAUGCUCAAGGACAGAACUGCUGCUACUAUUUCAUCGUGGAGUCAGGACCCUGGGAGGGGAAGAACAGAACGGGGGACACAGGUGUGGAGCCCUUGGCGGGACUGGGAUGGAGGAGGGUAGUGAGAAGAGGGGAUCCAGGGAGACUACGAGGUUCCCAAAGCCCAUUCUAUUGCACCAAAGGAUGUCUUGCAGGGAAAAAUAAAUAACAUGUUGCUCUUCCUCUGAGUCUACAUGUUACACAUCUAAGUACGACUUCCUGUCUUGUUCUAUAGCCUUUAUGGAAAUCCCCCCCAGACUUGAUGGGCAGAACUAAGAAGGUGAAGCAGAGACCCUUGGUAGAAGCCAACAUAAAUGUUACGCUUCAAUCAGAACCUGCCAGCACACCUGUGGAGGGUUGGGAGCCGUGCACCCUCACGGAGGUAGGUGGUUAAAAAGCUAGUGGGAGUUCAUGUGGCAAGUCCCUAUCCUCCUCAGAGACAGAUCCAAAGCAGUGAUUUCAACAAAAGUCAGGAAAAAGUAAACACAGCCAGUGGGAGAGACUCGAAAAUUCUUGUCAACAGGAAACGUUUCCUUUUUGGUCUCUUGGACCCAGAAGCAGUCAGACGCCGUGAGUGGAGGCCUAAUUUCUCUUUUCUUGGGAUGUAAUAAAAAUAGCCCUUUUUGGGUGUAAAGAAAUUACCCCUCCUCCCUGCAUUAGCACUGCUAUUUAGAGCAGCCGCCCCAGGAAUGAGCUGGGAUUUUGAAGCCAUGUGUGGUGGUUGUUGCCUCCUGCGGGGAGAUUUUCAAUGUGUUGUCCUUCUCCCCAAGUUGGGAAGGAAUGUGUGUCUGGAAGAGAGAAGACAGCUCCAGGGAUUCACAUAAGAAGGAAACUGGGGACCAGCAGAUGUUAUCACUGAGUAACCUUAUCAGGCCUAAGACUCUUCCUUUGGAGCCUCUCUCUUACCAGUGUUUUUUUUUUUUUUUUUUUUUUUUGGCCACUGGCAGACCUCUACUACACCUGGGAGUCAUUUGCCUCUGAAAGCCAGUUCACCUUAGGAAAGGUGGGUAAUCAAGAGUGAGCAGGAGUUCCGGUUGUGGCACAGCAGAAACAAACCUGACUAGGAACCGUGAGGUUGCGGGUUCGAUCCCUGGCCUCACUCACUAGGUUAAGGAUCCUGAAUUGCCGUGAGCUGUGGUGUAGGUUGAAGAUGCGGCUUGGAUUGGUGUUACUGUGGCUCUGGUGUAGGCUGGCAGCUGUAGCUCCAAUUAGACCCCUAGCCUGGGAACCUCCAUAUGCUGUAGGUGCGGCCCUGAAAAGACGAAAGACACACACACACACACACACACACACACACACACACACACACACGAGUGAGAGCAAAGAAGUCUACAGCCCAUAGGUGAGUGAGAGCCCAAGGUUAUGACAGAAGAGGAUGGACAAACUCAGAGAGCCACAGCAGAAAGAGAAUUCCAUCCCACCGAGGGAGAGGCACACUUAACCACCUGAACUCCAACAUCGAGAAACCAAACAGCCCUUGGAAGACCCAGAGGAUGCAAAGGGCCACGGUGUGAGCUGAGAGGAAGUAGGUGGAAGAGCAGGAGGUAGGAUAUUACUAAAAGAUCACAGACCCAGGCACUAGUGCAAGGAUUCCCACAUGUGUCAUCACCACAUUAAACAGUAUUAAUGGAUUUCUCAAACACAAGGCCUCCAGAGGUGCUUAAAAUAUCAUCAUUAGUAACCAGAGUUUGACCUUCUGGUCAUGUGACCUCUGGCCAGUCACAUCUUUUUCUAAGAUCUAGCUAAGGAUCCACUGAGCCCUCAGGGGAACAUGAGGUUCUGUCCCUCCCAGUUCCUUUUCUACAUGGACACAGUUCCCAGCAAAGGAGACUACAGUCUCUAUUUGUUUUGUUUUGCUUUGUUCUUGCUUCAUUAUUACCCAUUUUUCCUUGACUUAAUGAUAGUACAGUUCCAAAGGGCCAUGGCUGGAGAGAAAGGAGGUGUGAAGGUUUCCAGUGAAGCUGCUGUCUUUACCCCCGACCCGAGGAAGCUGAGCCCCAGGACUUGCCCUGACUGGAAUCACAUGGCUCAGGGCAGGCAAAGUCAAGUCAGUAUCUCAAUUCUGAAUUCCUUGUCCUGAAACGCUCCCCCAAGAUGAAAACAACAGCUUCUGUGCUUUGGCAUCUCCUUGGAUGCCAGGCACCAGACUUAGGGUUUAUCAAAAGGAGCAUUUCAUUUAUCCUGCAAAACAGUCUUCCAUUCCAAAGAUGAAGGAUGGAAGCUCUCAGGGCUGGCUAACCCCCAGGGCCACGGAGCUGCAGAGGCAUGGGGGCAGAACCCAGUGGGGUCUGUGCUGUUGACUCCACUGUUCCCAGAGGCCCCUCUCCUUCCACUCCCCACCCCCACCCCAGGAAAGCUCCCUGUGGGAGAGGCAGGUACCUGUAUAAGCGCAACAUUCUGUUGCCCCUCAAAUGUUCUAUUUCUUGAUCUGGGUGCUAGAUGCACAGGUAUUUAUUUUGUUAUUGCUCUUUAAACAGUACAAAUGCCUCUCUCUCUCUCUCUCUCUCUCUCUCUCUCUCUAUCACACACACACACUCACACACACACGUUGUAUACAUCAAAUUUCGUACUCCCAUAACUUAAGAACAAAUGGAAAAGAAGGGAAAUCUCGCAUCAUUUGAAGAACCAUCCUGGGGUGGUCUCGAGGCAAGAUGAAGGGGGCUUGACCUUCACAUAAAAGCAGAAAAAAAGCAUCUAGCAUUUAGCCUAGGAGACAUGCUCCUAGGAUCUUGGCAUCUUGACUCAGGGCCAGGUAACCAGUACCCAAGGGGACAGAGAAGGUGAGCAGGGCCUCAUAUUUACUAGUGUUUCUAGAACUGGGCCAUACAAAAAAUGAUAAGCUUUUGCCUCACUAGUCCUUGGUAAGCACAAGUGGGCUAGCGUCUUCCCUUUCAUGGGCUUCUCAAAACAUCAGAGGAAACUUUCUAUGAUUAUGUUAAUGGCAGGGUCAUUUGAGAGCGUGGAAAUUCGGAAACCACCCAAAACUCCUUUGAUGAAAGCAAUUUACUAAUGUGCAUUUGCCUCCAUAUGAGCAAUGGCCUCUAAAAGCCACUGAAAAACCAGGACCUAGUGAGUGUAGGAAGGACUUGAGCCACAGCUCUGGUCCUCUGUCAAGGGCAGUGGUUCCCAUUCUAGUAAUUCAUUCUCACAGCACAUCCCCAUUCUCCAAAUGAGGAAGUGGAGGUUUAAAGAGGUGAAGUAAUUUGGUGUCUAUCCCACAGCUGUGAUGUGGAAGGACAUUCAUGGCAUCUUAAAUUUUAAAGGCAAGCGUGCAGUAUAAUUUCAGUUUUUUUCAUUACUGAUAUUUAUUUUGUUUCUUUUUAAAAAGUGUUACUGAAGCAUAGCUGAUUUACAAGGUUGUGAUAAUUUCUGCUGUACAAUAAAGUGAUUCAAUUAUACACAUACACACAUCCAUUCUCUUUCAGAUUCUUUCCCCACAUAGAUGGUCACAGAAUACUAGGUAGAGUUUCUUGGGCUAUACAGCAGGUCCCCACUGGCCAAUCAUUCCAUAGACCUCAGUGUGCCUAUGCCAAUCCCAGACCCCUAGUCCAUCCCUCCCUCCCCCUCAUCUGUCCCCUUUGAUAACCAUAAGUUUUUCAAAGUCUGUGAGUCUGUUUCUGUUCUGCAAGUAAAGGUUCAUUGGCAUCCUUUUUAAGAUUCCACAUAUAAGUGAUAUCAUAUGGUGUUUGUCUUUCAGUCACAGUCUAACUUCACUUAGUGUGAUAAUCUCUAGGUCCAUCCAUGUUGCUGCAAAUGGCUUUACUUUUUUUUUUUUUUAGGGCUGAGUAAUCAUUGUAUAUAUGUAUAUAAUUUCAGUUUUAUACACAUGAUCUAGUAAUGGAGGGAGGUGAUAGAAAUUACUUCACAUGUAGACAACUGACGGACAGCUCUGCAGCCAUUGCAAAUAGUACCAUAAAUUUCUAAUAGUUGACAUGGGAUGAAUUCAUGGCAUAGUAAAUUUUUUAAAAAGAAAAAGAUAAGGCUGUAUUUGCAAUAGGACUCCUUUUUGCAAAUGGGUGUGUGUUUGUGUGUGUAAUUAGUAAUUUCAAAUCAGGGUGAUGUUGCCCCUCAGGGGACAUUGGGCAAUGCCAACAAACAUAUCAGGUUAUCAUACAUGUGGAGGCCACCGAUGCUGCUAAACAUCUAUCUUACAGUGUCCAGCCUCACAACAAAAAAUUAUCCUACUCAAAAUGUCAGUAGUUUAAUAUAUAGAGUUGACCUUCGAACAAUACAAGUUUGAACUUUGAAAGUCCAUUUACACGAGAGUUCAUCCAUACACAGAUUUUUUUCCAAUAAACAUUAGUAUCUAUUUUUUCAUUUUAUAGAUCUUUAAAUUAACUAAAUGUGGGUAAAAGUUUGUGUUCCAUUAAAGAUCACGGUCUGUGGAAUCCAAAGAACUAGGGUUUGGGUGCCGACUCUACCCAAACUGUUUCGGCUUUCUGCUCUUGGGUGAGUCUUUUAUAAAUUCCUUUGUUUUUGAGUUAGAGAGAGCAGUAUGAGGAUUUUCAGCUGCACAGGAGGUCAGUGUCGCCAACCCUGUUGUGCAAGGGUCAACUGUGUACACACACAUAGAGAGAGAAAAAGCGUCUAGAAGGAAUAUUUCAGGAUGUGAACAGUUGUUAUCUUUGGGUAUAGGGUGAAUUUUUUCCAUAUCUAUUUUCUAACCUUUUUUUUUUUUUUUUAAACAACACGAUUAAGUGUGGGGGAGGGGUAGAGAAAAUGUUAUAGUUACAAUCGCCUUAGAAAUAGUUCAGUUGAGGGAGUUCCCUGUUAUGGCUCAGCAGAAAGGAGCCCAACUAGUAUCCAUGAGGAUGUGGGUUCCAUCCCUGGCCCCACUCAGUGGAUGAAACAAUCCUAAGUUGCUAUGAGCUGUGGUGGAGGCCAGCCGCUGCCGCUCAGAUUCCAUCCCUAGCCUGGGAACUUCCAUAUGCCCCGUCUGUGGCUCUUAAAAAAAAAAAAGAAAAGAAAAGAAAAAA
rnacentral:lncRNA from 1 species